rnacentral:rRNA from 1 species
UACGUAGGGUGCGAGCGUUAAUCGGAAUUACUGGGCGUAAAGCGUGCGCAGGCGGUUUGUUAAGCCAGAUGUGAAAUCCCCGGGCUUAACCUGGGAACUGCAUUUGUGACUGGCAAGCUAGAGUAUGGCAGAGGGGGGUAGAAUUCCACGUGUAGCAGUGAAAUGCGUAGAGAUGUGGAGGAAUACCGAUGGCGAAGGCAGCCCCCUGGGCCAAUACUGACGCUCAUGCACGAAAGCGUGGGGAGCAAACAGG